AGCGUAGGCGGUUUUUCAAGUGGGGUGUGAAAUCCCUGGGCUUAACCCAGGAAUUGCAUUCCAAACUGGAAGACUAGAGUGCAGGAGAGGAAAGUGGAAUUCCAAGUGUAGCGGUGAAAUGCGUAGAGAUUUGGAGGAACACCAGUGGCGAAGGCGACUUUCUGGACUGUAACUGACGCUGAUGCUCGAGAGCGUGGGGAGCAAACAGGAUUAGAUACCCUGGUAGUCCACGCUGUAAACGAUGAAUACUAGGUGUUGGGGGCGAAGCCCUCAGUGCCGCAGUUAACACAUUAAGUAUUCCGCCUGGGGAGUACGAUCGCAAGAUUAAA
rnacentral:rRNA from 1 species